rnacentral:rRNA from 1 species
AUUGAACGCUGGCGGCAGGCUUAACACAUGCAAGUCGAGCGGAGAUGAGGUGCUUGCACCUUAUCUUAGCGGCGGACGGGUGAGUAAUGCUUAGGAAUCUGCCUAUUAGUGGGGGACAACAUUCCGAAAGAAAUGCUAAUACCGCAUACGUCCUACGGGAGAAAGCAGGGGAUCUACGGACCUUGCGCUAAGAGAUGAGCCUAAGUCGGAUUAGCUAGUUGGUGGGGUAACGGCCUACCAAGGCGACGAUCUGUCGCGGGUCUGAGAGGAUGGUCCGCCACACUGGGGCUGAGACACGGCCCAGACUCCUACGGGAGGCAGCAGUGGGGAAUAUUGGACAAUGGGGGGAACCCUGAUCCAGCCAUGCCGCGUGUGUGAAGAAGGCCUUAUGGUUGUAAAGCACUUUAAGCGAGGAGGAGGCUACUGAGACUAAUACUCUUGGAUAGUGGACGUUACUCGCAGAAUAAGCACCGGCUAACUCUGUGCCAGCAGCCGCCGUAAUAC